CGCAGAAUAAUGACGUUUGUCGCAUAUCAAUGAUGUUCGCCGUACAGCCUGAAGUCACGUUUGAAAAUAUCAGAUAUUGUGAUAGCACACAUUUGGACUGUGGGGUGAAGCUCUGUGGAUUGUGAAAAGCUGCAGGACGAGCACAAGUCAUCUGAAAUUUCAUCAUCUUGUCAACAAUGUUUGAUGAAUGAAAACGAAGCCUGUGGACGAUCCUGAGGGGACAUUACACCUCUUAGUAUCCAGUGGAGCACUAACUGUGGAUACUGCUGGGAAUCACACAGCAAAGACCCUUCCAAGGGUAAUCAGAACAAG